rnacentral:lncRNA from 1 species
GCAUUCCUUGAUGUGUGUCCCUCUUCCUUUAUCUUCAAAACCAGCAGUAGGGGGUAGAGUGCUUCCAUGUUUAGAUCGAGUGCUUUCAUGUUUAGAAAAUGAUCUCUCCUUCUGCCUCAUCUCCCCCUGCUUUCUUCUUCCACCACAUUUCUCUCAAGACUCCUCUGCAUUUUUCUUCUGGUUUCACAGGCUCAUCUGGAUAAUCCAGGAUACUAUCCCAACUUUAAGGGUCCCUCCCAUGAAAUGUGAAGAUUAUGGGAACUACAAUUCAAGAUGAGAUUGGGUGGAGACACAGCCAAACCAUAUCAGUCAUGGUUCUUAU